rnacentral:tRNA from 2 species
CGGGGCGUGGCUCAGUCCGGCUAGAGCGCGUGGUUUGGGACCAUGAGAUCGGAGGUUCGAAUCCUCUCGCCCCGA